rnacentral:rRNA from 1 species
UUGUUCGGAUUUACUGGGCUUAAAGCGCGUGUAGGCGGAUUGGUACGUACCUUGUGAAAUCCCACGGCUCAACCGUGGAAUGGCUGGGUAUACGGCCGGUCUUGAGGCUGAUAGAGGUGCCUGGAACCUUAGGUGGAGCGGUGAAAUGCGUAGAUAUCUAAGGGAACGCCGGUGGCGAAAGCGGGGCACUGGGUCAGUCCUGACGCUGAGACGCGAAAGCGUAGGGAGCAAACGGGAUUAUAUACCCCGGUAGUCUACGCCGUAAACGAUGCGCACUANGUACGAGGGUCUCUGACGACAAUCGUGCCGAAGCAAAAGUGAUAAGUGCGCCGCCUGGGGAGUACGGCCGCAAGGCUAAAACUCAAAGGAAUUGACGGGGGCUCACACAAGCGGUGGAGCAUGUGGAUCAAUUCGAAGCAACGCGAAGAACCUUACCUGGGUUUGACAUGUACGGAUGCCCUUCCCGAAAGGGGAGUAAGCUGUCUUCGGAUGAAACGUGCACAGGUGCUGCAUGGCUGUCGUCAGCUCGUGCUGUGAAGUGUCCGGUUAAGUCCC